rnacentral:rRNA from 1 species
UACGUAGGCAGCAAGCGUUGUUCGGAAUUACUGGGCGUAAAGAGUGUGUAGGCGGUGCUCCAAGUCUGGUGUGAAAUCUCCCGGCUUAACUGGGAGGGUGCAUUAGAAACUGGAAUGCUAGAGGAUGGGAGAGGUAAGCGGAAUUCCUGGUGUAGCGGUGAAAUGCGUAGAUAUCAGGAGGAACACCAGUGGCGAAAGCGGCUCACUGGACCACAACUGACGCUGAGGCGCGAAAGCUAGGGGAGCAAACAGG